UCACUGUCGCCGUGAGCUUGUGUCACCGGUGAUGAGAGCGUGCCGUUCACCUGGCCCACAUCACGAUGGCGGGGCUGAAUUUGCUAAAGUUUCAAAGAGCCUUGAAGACGCUGAGUGUUGCUAUCGUAACUGCUACACAAAGUUCCCGGAGGAGCAUCAGCGAAGCCUCGACUCGGUUUCUUUCACUUUCAUUUCUGUUGUGGAAGACUCACCUUCCUACUCGUGUCCGUACAGCUACCUAAAACUUUAACCAGAAGGGCCCCGGGCGCACACCACGGGCCGAGGCCCGUGUGGCACUCUUGCGGGACUUCGGACUGCUGUCCGCUGUAUGUCCACACCCGGAGGGGCCUGGAGGGUCGCAGAGGGAACACAACCACCUGUUCUAAACUGCUUUGGUUUUCCGGGGAGUUAGGGUUGAGUUAAUAGGAUAGAGAAAGUUGGACCGAAAUUGGACAUGUGAUAGUGGAGGGAUAGCCCAAAAUCCCAAGCGGAAAACCCCUGCUCUGGAAUCUGUUCAGAAGACUUGGAGGCCCAGUGCUCACCUGUCCUGGGGAGGGCGACUGCACAGAGACUCCCCUGCUCACGGUUUGCGGUGUUUCCUUCCCUGGUAAAGCCCUAGGAGGGAGGCGUUCCCUCCUGCUUCCCUCGGUCGUUAGCGGCUGGAUGAACACCGAUCAAGGUGCUGAGGGUGUCUGCAGCCCCCCUCCCCCCAGUACAAGGGUCCCCGGGGGUCGUGGGGGACAGAACUUCCCUGCUGUAUGGCCAUCAAGUCACUUAUAAGCACCUCCUAAUUCCAGAGGCGGCUCCCUUGUUCAUUCAUACACUCACUCACUCAACAUGUGAUUGGUGAGUUGCCAGUCAGCCAGUGGGUAGUCCCCAGACCAUGUGAGGAGCCCUGGUCCUACCAGAGCUGGCAUUACGGCUGAGACACAGACCCUUUAGGACUGGUAAGAAAUUAAUGUCAUUAAUUAAUGACAAGUACAGCAACUUUCCAUAAAAGAGAAGGAUGGGGUAUUUUGAAAGCAUAAACCAGGGUAACAUGGCCUAGCGUGGGGUUGGGAAAUCUUCCUGGAGGCAAGCCGAACGUUAUGGGGAAGGAUAUGUGGUUCCAGGCAGAGGGGGCAGUUUGUGCAAAGGCCCUGAGGUCAUAAGGAAAACAUGUGCUCCAGAACCCACAGAGCUGCGAGUGAACCCGCCCAGACAGAAGGCAUGAGGCGAGGCUGGGGUGGAGCCAGGGGCAGGUAAGUAAGAGCCCUACCGUUCAGGGUAAAGAUUGUUCAUCCAACCAGCAAAGCUGUCAGGACGAGCUUUUAAAGCGGAGUCACGGGGUCAAACGCGUGUCCGGAGGGCCGCAGACACAGCGUAAGAGGAGUAAGGACACUGCAGAAGGGGCUUGGUGUAUUGCGGCUGCACAGGAGAACUGGGGCACCUUACACGGGUGAACUGGCCGGGGCUGUUCCAUGCCUGGAAGAGGACUGCGCUCGGGAGGGGACGCAGGAGGCGCGGGGGCGGGAGGCUUGUCCCCCUGCAGCUCUGUCCGAAAGUCGCGUUUCUUCCCCAGGGACACAGGCAGCCCUGGCCUCGUGCGCAGCCGGGCGACACCCAGGUCCCUGCGGGGAGUGAGUGUGCAAACUUGUCGUCCUCCACUGCCCUCCCACGCACGAGUUUGUUUGGGAUCGAAGCAGCUCAUCUCCCUGGGGUCAGAAAAGACCCCGUGCCCGACACUACGUCCCCCGCACCCAGGCUGCUGUGCCGGGCCCCCCUGCCUCCCUUCCCUCGGCUGCCUGGGGUGCCCCAAGACGCGGGGCCGCCACAGUGGGCCGCCUCCAGUCUCUGGGGGAGCGCGUGCGCGUGCACCGGGCCUGGGAGCGUGCGCGAGCGCGUGUGGGAGCGUGCGUGCACGUGCAUGGGAGCGUGGGCGUGUUGUGCGUGCACGCCCGUGGACGUGGGGGUCUCCAGCCUGCAGCUCUGCGGGGGCUCCCUGCUCACUGCACCGGCUGGUGGCGCCGGGGCUCGGGGACCGACCCCUGCGCUUGCUCGCACCCCUGCCCCGCGGAGCCUGGGCCGCGACUAGAUUCCUCUAGACUCGUUGCCGGGUCAGAGACGGGCUCUUUGACUUUGGUACUUUGUUUACGGGAUGUUUGUCCACCCGGAAGACUUUGGGUUGUUCCCGGUUCCAGCAUCAGAUGCGGCCAUCUUUUCGCCUGAACUUCUGGGAGGGAGGCGGCGUAAGAGCUCCCCGCUUCCGCUGGUGACCGUAACCCGCCUUUGUUUGCUGGUGUUUGGGCCGAUUUACACGCUCUUGGACUCAGCAAACACUUAGGGACCACAGCCAGGCCCUGCAGCUGGGGACCUGGUGGCGGAGUCCCUGCCCUCCAGGAGCCUGAGGUCUGUUCCGAGGACAAAAGGACAAAAUGAAGAUGUCAUCAGACGGGUGGAGACCCGUGCUAAGAGCCAAGGGAAACCCCGUAUCACAGAGAAGGGAGCGGGUGCUUUGACGUCUCAGCGGGGCGUCGAGCUGGCACUGGGGUUAGCGACCGCUGACCGCCGAGCACCCCUCCUCCCUGUGCAGCCCCCCACUCCUUCCCGGUCCCUUUGUCCCGAAGCUGACGUGCCUCUGCAGGGCCCCACCACGUCUGUGCUCCUCGGGGCCAGGGGUCCAGCUCUGGGGAACCUCCUCCUUGCCGCUUUGUGCUGGGAGUUUACUCGUGUCCCCUGGUUUCCCAAGCGGGGUGUGUGUGUGAUUCAGUGCUUUCCAGCAGGAUUACUUCCGUCCCCAUCCCCUCUACCCCACGGGCCUGCAUGUUCCUGAGGACGGGGAUGCAGCCAGGCAAGGUGGAUUUUCGGCAUCACAGAGGGUCCUGUGUCCAAACACCAUCACAUUCGGAGUCCUGGGGGGCUUCGACAUAGGAAUUUGGGGGACACAGCUGAGCCCACAGCCCCCGGGAGGCCGCCAUGGAGGAGAGGGCAGCAAAGUGACGUGAGACAAGCUGUAAUUUUAUCAUCCGUUAGCAGCAGUAUGUGACAGAUCCUAAGUCACUCCUCCAGAGGAACCAUACGGGAUCCGGGGGCUCGUAUGUAACCUUCUCGCCUUCAUCACGGGGGGAGACAUAGCCAUGAUCGCUGGGAGUCUGAAUGGCAGAUUUCGUGUGGAAAGUUCGCUUUAAUGAACGGUAGCAACAGCCUGCAGGGACAUUGGCUCCUUGUUGGAUCGUCCCGUACUCCAGCCCUUGUCAGACUUCUUCAUCUGAAUCUCUGUAUUUGCUCGGAAACCCACGAGGGCUCUCGGCGCUCGAGACCCCCAAACACUCAGCCUCGUGACGAAGCUUGUUCCGAGCGACCCUCGCGUCCGUGUGCAAGGUGGCGGGCAGGCGGCCGCGGGCUGGCCCUGCUCAAGGCACUGAGCCAGCGAGCGUCCCAGCAGCCUCCGCACCCAUCGCUGCCUUUACGUGAGCCGGGCUUCGGCCUUCGCUUCCUGAAGGUUCCUGGACACGCCCCCCGCAGCGGGAGCAUGAGCCGCAAAGCAAAACCAACGUUUCGGUUGAUUCAGUCUCCCCAGGCCACAUUACAGCUGGUUUACAUUUCUUGAUCAGAGAUCUCUAAUCUUGCCUUAGCACGGCCCUCGUGUGACUUCCCUCUUCCGCUGAAAUUUAAUUCCAUUGGGCAAAUAUGUGUAACCGUUCGCUGCUCACGCUGUGUCCUGAGACAAGCAAGGGAGUGGGAGAGGUGCCCUUCAGAAAGGCCCAGGUGCCGCCGGACAGGGCUUCCAGGCUGCCGGCGCGGGAAGAGGGAGGGCGCUGCCUCGGUCCGGUUUCGGGGCAACAGCAGCACUGGCGGGCUUUAUGCGUCUGGUCUGCCAUCACUCGCUGUUUGCAAACUGGGGACCAAGGAAGCUGCUGCCGCCGUCUGAAGGGGAGCCAGUGGUGUGGGCCCCGGCCCGGGGCCAGGUGAAGACCAGUGUCCCAGAUGCAGAAGUCGGGCAGAGAGUGAAUUCUCCUCUCCUCUGCCUUUUUUUCCGUCCGGGCCCUCGGAGCGCUGGACGAGGCCCACCCUCGUCAGAGAGGACAACCUGCUUCACUGACUCAAAUGCUAACCUCACCCAGAAACAGCCUCACAGACACAGCCUGAAUCAGGUUCGAGCAAAUACCCCGGGUGCCUGUGGCCCUGGUGGAUGUAAAAUUGACCGUCACAGGUGGACAGGCCCAGGUGGGUGUGGCCGGCUGGCCAUUUCCCUGAUCGCCCCUAGAGUGAUGUGGUCCUCACGGCCUUCCAGGAAGUGGGCUAAGAUCUGUCUGCGUGCUUUCCAGAGCGGUGAAUAAGGCUCUGUCUCCCAACCUCAUCCACGCCUCCCUCCGUCUGGACGUAUCCAUGGCGAGCGGGGCGAGCGGGUUGCGUAGGCCGAGCCUUGUCCCCAGUGACCACUGGGGAGCCGUGUGGCCGCACCUGCCUCUCGGCGCUUAGUGGGAAGAACAGAGCCAGUCCCAUACAAGGAGGACGUGUUGACCGAGGGGACAAAGGUGGAAUCGUUCCCCCAGGCCGGCUCGUGGUGUUAUCAGCUGGAGAACGCCGUCUCGCUUGAACAGAGCCCGCCACGGCCUCACAUAAUGAAGUGCAAACAGGAUUUUGAAAAAAGGGUGCACAGCCCACAAUUUUGUAAGGAGCUCUGGUUGGACUUCCUGCCUACACUGAGUUUAAUCGGUGGGCCGUCCACGUCAGGCAUUUUCACGCAAUGUCUACCCUUCGGCAAGGUUCCCACAGAGCACAGAAAGUGGAAAGAACCUCUUCCCAUCUGCUGGGUGGCCACACAUUAGGCACGGUGCUAACACCCAGCGAGAACCCGCAUUUCACGUUCUUCUGCAGCGCUUUCUACGGUCAAAGCCUUCUCCUGCCUCCGAGAUCUUCUUGUCAUGUUCUGAGUCCUCCCUGAAGAAUGUGAAGUCGUAGGACGCCUGUCUGCUGGCUUUCAUUGGUGCUUGGUGCAUAGAAACUGUUUCUCUACCCGUCACGUGUGUGUGGGGUCCCAGACCACCCCGGCGAGACCCGCGGUAAUGAGGACUGGUUUCUGCUCUGCCUGCGACAGCGAGCUCAGCUCCUGGGAGCCCCACGACCCUUCUCCAUGUGAAGAGUGGGUGAUCACGGGUGAGCCUCGGAGCCCGUCUGUUCUGAGGCACUGGGACCCGGAAAGCAUUCGGCAAAUAAGAACCGUGUUUACUGAAGUCCCAGGAGGCACCGGGCUACAUCCACAGCUGGAAACAAAACCAACUGGCCACCGCCCUCACUUUGGACUCGCGACAACCAGGCGGUGCUUGAAGGGACAGUGAUGACUGGAUCUCACUUCAGUGACCACACGGGACCCAGGUAAGGACAUUGACCCAAGACACCAACAAGAUGCAAAGUCUACGCAUCGGUGAAGAGACUAGAACUGUCUCUCUGUUGCUGCACCACACGGUAUAGGGUGCGUCCUGUGUCACAUGGACACUGCUGAGCAGGCGUCACCCAGAAAAGCAGGUGGACAGGGGCUCUGGGCAAAUUAAAUACUCACGGAGGAUUUCAGCGGAGGAGGGAGAAGGGAAAGAACUUGUGACUGGAGUAAGGUGAAGGAAGGCUGGGGCACAAAGGACACGGGAAAGAGGUGCGGGCACAGCCCAGGGGCUCUGGAGGCUCAUCUGGAACUUUAGAUGUCUUUCUUGAUGAGAAAGAAAAACUCUGAAAUAUUUUCAGUACAGGAGUUGUGUGGCCAGACGUGUGGCUUCCAAAGACCACCCUGGGUGCUGUGCGAGAAGGGACUGGAGAAGGCUGGGCGUGGGGACCGAGAGCCAGGGUCCGCCAGGGGGUGGCUCCAUUCGUUCACGGGAAGACUAAGGCUGAGCCCCAGGUGGGGCCGGAGAUGAAGGACAGUGGACAUGCUCGGUACAGGCACGUCGCUGAGGAGCUGCACGGGCAGGACGUGGCAGGGGGUGCUGUGCUGAGAUGCCUUCCUGGACACCGGUUCCCAUGAUGAAGGCUGUGCUGUCGGGGGCACCUGCUUCCAAGAUGGGGAACAGGGCAAGAGGCAGACUGGGGGAGAAAACUGUCCGCUUCCUUGCCUCACUCUUCUGGAAGCCUGUGUUGAAGGCAGGAAGACAUGAGCAGCAUAUCCACAAUACGCUGGACCACACCCUUCGAGCUCCUGUGUUCGCGCACACCUCUCCAGGGGCUGAUGCCCUGAAUCUUGGACCACGUGGUCAAGAUGCAAUCGUGCUGUGGCUUGGGAAGGAGGCAGAUCUGUAGGUCCCAUGGUGCCCUUAUCGUGAGAGUAGUCUGGACACUGGUCACAAAGACCUCGAGCCUCCUCUUGUGGGUGUCACAUGUCCUAGCCAAUUGGACGUUGGGUGUGGCAUGGGGAUGGUCAGGUGGGGUGGAGGGAGGGAGGGGAAAAGAGUGACGUCAGGAUGAGAUGAGAGAGGUCAGGGGCACGUGGGGUACCCGAAAGGGAACACGGGGAGAAUCGGUAUCGUUGUUCCCAUGUUGAGACUAACACUGUGUCUCACCGGCAAUGAGAAAGAUCAAAAGAAAACACCCUCCCCACCUUCAAAUUGCUUGUGAGGCCGACUCCGUGCAAGUGACAGGGGGUGUUUUGCAGCUGCUGCGAGAGGGACACCAGGGCCGUCAGCAGCCGGAGCUGGAGAGGGUUCUGCAGAAGGGGACGAUGUUUCAUCCUUCUGGACCCAUCAGUUUCCAGGCGGGAACAGCCCUCCAACUGUGGGCACAAGAGUACUUCGUGCUUCCAGAUACUGAAAAGAAAAAUCUAACAUCAUUUAAGUGGGGGUUAUAGAUUGACAUUUUCUUUAUAAAGCCGACUUCUAGACGGCUUCAGAGUAGCUCUUCCGGUUUUGAAACAGGCCAGCUAUAUUCAUUACAUUGACUCUCUUUCAGAUCUUGAUGCUUGGAGAAUAAUUCCUCAUUGGUAUUUAUUUUGCUCUAAAUUAGCUAUUUGCUUAUUGACCCAAAAUAGUUAUCAUCUCAGCUGGAAAUAUAUUGGAACUCUGGUUGCCAAACAAAUAUUCAGCAAAAGAUGGAGAAAAGCAUAUGGGGAGGAAAACCCCACCAAGUCUGGGCUGCUGGUGCUCUGGAAGGCGCUCUGGCGGGCCGCCAUGUGCCCCGCUGCACGCAGGCACCGGGGUGACAGUGAUCGAUUCGGCAGUGGGGAGGUGUUAAUGAUAUUCAGCGCUGAUGGCUGAGAUAUUUAUCAUCUCUGCAUUUAUCAUUAUAAAGAGGACGCCAGAGCUAAUUAAAGUCUGGGCUAACAGGGUGACCGGGGAGUCUGGGGGGCACCGACGCCCAGAAAGACCUGGGAAAGCUUCCAGCAGGAAGGACACCAACCUUACAGCAAAGCCAAUUAACUUAAUUCUUCGGGAAAGCGUGUGUGGCACUUUCAUUUGGCUAAACUGGAGGACGGGUUUCAAGCACGUCUCCUAUUUUGUGCCGAAACCGCAGGCUUGCUAACAGACAGUGACUGCUGUGUUCCCUCACUCUGCUCCCAGCCCUACCCAACCCCAUCUCAGAAAAUCCUUACGCUUGGGGCGCCUGGGGGGCUCAGCCGGUUAAGGGUCCGACUUCGGCUCACGUCGCGAUCUCACGGUGCGUGGGUUCGAGCCCCGCGUCGGGCUCUGUGCUGACAGCUCAGAGCCUGGAGCCU